GAUGAAGAACGCAGCGAAAUGUGAUAAAUAAUGUGAAUUGCAGAAUUCAGUGAAUCAUCGAAUCUUUGAACGCACAUUGCGCCCGCCAGUAUUCUGGCGGGCAUGCCUGUUCGAGCGUCAUUACAACCCUCAGGCCCCCGGGCCUGGCGUUGGGGAUCGGCGGAGCCCCCCGUGGGCACACGCCGUCCCCCAAAUACAGUGGCGGUCCCGCCGCAGCUUCCAUCGCGUAGUAGCUAACACCUCGCGACUGGAGAGCGGCGCGGCCACGCCGUAAAACACCCAACUCUUCUGAAGUUGACCUCGAAUCAGGUAGGAAUACCCGCUGAACUUAAGCAUAUCAAUAAGCGGAGGA
rnacentral:misc_RNA from 1 species